GAGAGAGAUUUUUACAGUUGUUUUCCAACAAUUCAUUGUUAAAAUAAAUAACUCUGAUUGGAGGGAUGAUUCAAUAAACAAGAAAGUAUCAGUUAAAAUGACAGUUCUCUUACGUGCCAAAUGAUGUUGGACGAGAAUGACGAUGUUGUUUCCUUCUUUAACUGUAGAGGACGAUCAUAAUGUUGAAUGGUGGAGAUGUAUGGUAUAGAUGAACGGUAGUGACGCAGAUUGGAGAUGAACGGCACAAUCAACUGUGGAUAUGAAUGACGGAGAGGUACGAUGUAGGUAAACAUUGGAACGCACGCUGGAGAUAAAUGGCGGAGAUGCUCAGUGUAGGUGAUCGGUGGAGAUGCACAUUGGAGAUGAAUGGCGGAGACACCAUAAGAAAUCGCAAACCUACAGAUCUAUCUUUUGAUGGAGCCCUCUCUCGAAUUGAGCUAAAGAUCAUAUAUAACUCCGUUUCAACUUUUCAUUUCUAUACUUUUUCCUUUUUGGGAAAGACAAAAUGUUUAUCCUUACCAAGAAAGUGAUGUAAUAUAUAUAAUUCAAUACAUUUGUCCUACAUUUUAUCUUCCUGCUUAGGUAACUUAUUGUUGUCGG
rnacentral:lncRNA from 1 species